GAGGGUGUCACUAGUGACAGAGUGACGGAGGGGGUGACUAGUGACAGAUUUAGGGAGGGAAGAGGUGACUAGUGACAGAGUGAGGAAGGGAGUGACUAGCGACAGAGGGAGGGGUGACUAGGGACAGAGUGAGGGAGGUGGUGACUAGUGACAGUCACCACCUCCCUCACUCUGUCACUGUGUCACCCCCUCCCUCUGUCACUGGUCACCCACUCCCUCCCUCACUCUGUCACCAGUCAUCCCCUCACUCUGUCACUAGUAACCCCUUCCUUCCCUCACUCUGCCACUAGUCACCCCUUCCCUCACUCUGUCACCUGUCACCCCCUCACUCUAUCACUAGUCACCCCCUCACUCUAGUGA